AUGGAUACGCUCGAGGUGCGCUACGGCCACUACGUGCUUCUGGCGACGGCUGUCGGAUAUGGUGAGGAGAAAGUGACGCCGGUAGCUCUGCUGGUGACCUUGGAGCAGCGUUGCGGCGUGCUGCCAUCGGAGGUGGUCAUUGAGGUCGCAUGCCCACCACACGACUUGUGGCUGACCUUCUCGAUGGAGGAGAAGUGCACUGAUGUGCUCUUCUCGUCGAUGAAGAUCAAGUGUUGCCGACGCUGGUUGCAGUUUUCACACUGA
rnacentral:rRNA from 1 species